rnacentral:misc_RNA from 1 species
GAUGAAGAACGUAGUGAAAUGCGAUAAGUAAUGUGAAUUGCAGAAUUCAGUGAAUCAUCGAAUCUUUGAACGCACCUUGCGCUCCUUGGUAUUCCGAGGAGCAUGCCUGUUUGAGUGUCAUUAAAUUCUCAACCUCACCAGUUUUGUAACGAGACAGGUGAAGGCUUGGAUGUGGGGGUUUUGCAGGCUGCCUCAGUGCUGGUCUGCUCUCCUGAAAUGCAUUAGCGAGCUCAUAUUGAGCUUCCGUCUAUUGGUGUGAUAAUUAUCUACGCCGUGGAUUGGACUCAUGCUUGCUUCUAACCGUCCGCAAGGACAAUUUACUUGACCAAUUUGACCUCAAAUCAGGUAGGACUACCCGCUGAACUUAAGCAUAUCAAUAAGCGGAGGA